UGGACGGCAUCCGGCCAGCACGCCGCCGUCAACUUCGGUCAGUAUCCGUUAGGUGGGUACAUGCCAAAUCGACCCACUGUGAUGAAAGAGUUGAUUCCGGAGAUUGACGAACCAGAGUAUGAGAAAUUCUUGAAGUGUCCGCAAGACGCUUACUUGGCAUCUCUGCCGUCGGUGCUGGAAACGACUAAAGUAAUGGCGGUGCAAGAUUCGUUGUCGACGCAUGCACCGGACGAAGAUUAUUUGGGUAAGGUCGAUGAGUCGCAUUCGAGUUGGAUCGACGACGAUAAGAUUCUGAACUUGCAUGAGAAAUUCGCCGGCAAAUUGGUGGAGAUUGAAGAGAUUAUUAAGGCGAGGAAUAAUGAUAAGAGACUUACUCAUCGAAAUG
rnacentral:lncRNA from 1 species